UACGGAGGGUGCAAGCGUUAUCCGGAUUCACUGGGUGUAAAGGGAGCGUAGGAGGGCAGGUAAGUCAGUGGUGAAAUCUUCGAGCUUAACUCGGAAACUGCCGUUGAUACUAUCUGUCUUGAAUACCGUGGAGAUGAGCGGAAUAUGUCAUGUAGCGGUGAAAUGCUUAGAUAUGACAUAGAACACCGAUUGCGAAGGCAGCUCGUUACACGAUUAUUGACUCUGAGGCUAGAAAGCGUGGGGAUCAAACAGG
rnacentral:misc_RNA from 1 species